UUUUUUUUUUUUUUUUUAGCAGCCGGGCUCUCCUGUUCUCCGUGGAAGGGGGAAUUUAUUUCAUUACAGGGAGUUCUGGAGGGUGUGGGAGGCCAAGCUGGAGUGGGCUUUAAGGCUCUUUCCAGCUGUUCAAAGGCAGGAACUUGGGGCCUCUUUGGAAUCUAUAUCUGAGCUAAACAAGAUGGCGCACAGAGAAGAUCGACACAAGGCUCCAUCCCACAAACCGUGAGAUCAUGACCUAAGCCAAAAUCAAGAGUUGGAAGCUUAACCGACUGAGCCACCCAGGUGCCCCGGGAAGGGCAUUUUAAAGCCUUCAGUAGAGCAAGAAAGUGGGACCGGAUGAACUCUGAGGACCACGCGAGACCCAGGAUGACCACAAAGGUCUGUAGCGAGGCGGCCCCGAAAGCAAGGUCUCCGGGCUCCCCUUGUUGUACCGCAGGCAAAAGCGGAAAUUGGAAGGCAAGCCCUGUGAUGGCGAGGACUUGAAAAUUGCUUCUAAUUUCCAAGUGUGUGCCAGAGAGAGAGACAGCCUGCCAAGGACACGGCCUAAGUCACCCUCCUUGUAAUGAGAGAAGAGGAGGAAGAGCGGUGAUUAAAUGUGCUUGAUAAAACUUCUCUAUUUCGUGUUUGGAAUAA